UACAGAGGUCUCAAGCGUUGUUCGGAUUCAUUGGGCGUAAAGGGUGCGUAGGCGGCGCGGUAAGUCGGGUGUGAAAUCUUGGAGCUUAACUCCGAGACUGCAUUCGAUACUGCCGUGCUUGAGGACUGGAGAGGAGACUGGAAUUUACGGUGUAGCGGUGAAAUGCGUAGAUAUCGUAAGGAAGACAGUGGCGAAGGCGGCUCACUGGCCCCGAUACUGACGCUGAGGCACGAAAAGCGUGGGGGAGCAAAACAGG
rnacentral:rRNA from 1 species